GCCGGGACUCCCCGUGGAUGUCAUCUGAAAUCCAGGGAGGUUUUUAAAAGUGCCCGGGAUCACAAAGCUAGUAAUUGGUGAGUUUAAACUGGAUCCCACACCUACCGGAUUUCAAAGCAUGAUCUGUUUAUUAUGUUAGAUAUGAUGUUAGAUAUUAGUUAUUGAGAACUAUGAAGCACGAGUGUUACUUGUGCAAAGAGUCCAUGAAGGCUAAAUAGGAAGCCGACAGAGGCGUACGGAAGUCAAAAGAGAGUCUUUGUCUCAAGGUUCGCUACUUCCGUAAGGGGCACAUGGAGGAUAGCCAAGUGACAUCUGAUGAACUUAGUCAUGAGCAGCUUUGGGUCAGAAGGCCAUUCUGAAAGCUUAGAAACUACCCAAAACAAAGAGUUCUCUUCCAGUGACAUUAAUCCACCCUUUCAUAUAAUGAAUACUUGGUCCAUCCCUAUCAGCGUUUGAUCAUACAACCGAUGAAUUAUUCCUCAUCAUCUUAUGAAUUCUUAGUACUUUCAUCAAGGACUUCCAUAUCUAUUGAAGCAAAGAGAUUUCAAAGCUAUUGGAACAAGUUGAAAGAUACUGUGCACUGCACUUAAGUGCCUCUUCUAUAACCAGCAUAUUGUGGGCACAUGCUGAUCGACAAUUCAAUAUCCAUCUCGCCAUCAUUUCCUGUGGAGUGUCUGGUGAGAGUGUUAAAAGCAGGCACUCUCGGGACUCCACAAUCAACAAAUAGGCACCUGACCCACGCUGGAGCCAGGCUUUCUAAAGUGAAGGGAGAUGUUAGGACAAUGGGCAAAUGAUGGGUGGGCAGUGU
rnacentral:lncRNA from 1 species